rnacentral:rRNA from 1 species
AUGGACGCCUCCGACGAGCUCCGGUCGCUGGAGGCCACGGGGAUCUACCGCCUCGCAGGCUCUCCCGCCGCCUUCGUCGACCCGGUGCGCCUCCUCGGCGAAUCCUACCGGCGCUUCCGCCUCGUCCCGUCGGCGUACUACUCCCGAAGCUUCGGCCCGUCGCGGCAGGGAGGCGAAGGGACGGCGCCGUCUCCCGACCGGAAGAAGCGCAAGCGGAAGCGCCAGCCGAAGCCCCGGGAACUCAACGCCGUGGAGCGGAUCGCAGAAGCGCGGCACCAGGAAGCAAGGCCUUUGCUAAUUAGGGCCCAUAAUUCACUCCUCGAGACGAAAGAUCUACUGGAAUUCCUUCCGGGGAUGAUCAAGGGAGAUGAAUGCCUGCCAAAUGUUGAAACUAGUUCUGAGAACAAUUUUGUUGAGCUUGGGGCCUCAUGGCGAGCACCUUUCUACGAGAUGACUAUCUGCUUUCAGAAGCCUCUUGGUCAGGUCAAGGCAGGUACCUGCAAUGUCCAAAAGAGAUCCAGUCCAUUAUUUAAUAGGAUAGUCAGUGUUGAAGAAAACGAUGAGGCAGAAGGAGAAUUUCAGAGUAGACUUUAUAUUUUACCAAAAGGAAGUUGCUUCAUGAUGACUGACUUCACACAUGUUCGUGAUCUCAUUCCUGAUAAUCCUAAUAUAGGGUACAACCUUAUAGUUAUUGACCCACCUUGGGAGAAUGGAUGUGUUCGCCAGAAAGAAGUGUAUCCUACACUUCCCAAUAGAAAUUUGUUGUAUCUUCCAGUUCAAGAACUUGCACAUCCAGCUGGAGCUCUUCUAGUUUUGUGGAUUACAAAUCGGGAGAAACUGCGAAGAUUUGUUGAGGAAGAAUUGCUUCCAUCUUGGGGGGUCAAAGACCCCACGGAGUUUUAUUGGCUGAAGGUGAAGUCGGAUGGUUCACUGAUUGGCGAUCUAGACUUGUUCCAUCACAGGCCUUAUGAGUGUCUCCUUCUUGGCUACAUCAACGUUAAUAGAGAAGCUGAGUCAGGAUCGAAGUUUAAGGUUCUACAAGGCAGCCAAGUAAUUAUGAGUGUUCCGGGUGCACACUCAAGGAAACCUCCUCUUCAGAAAAUUCUUUCAGAAUAUAUUCCUGGUCCGAAGCCUCCAAGGUGCAUAGAGCUUUUUGCAAGAGAAUUGGGUUCCGGAUGGACCUCGUGGGGAAACGAGCCGCUCCAUUUCCAGGAUUCAAUGUACUUUUCAAAGAAGUAA